CCUACGGGAUGCUGCAGUGGGGAAUAUUGCACAAUGGGCGAAAGCCUGAUGCAGCAACGCCGCGUGAAGGAAGACGGUUUUCGGAUUGUAAACUUCUGUUCUUAGUGAAGAAUAAUGACGGUAACUAAGGAGCAAGCCACGUCUAACUACGUGCCAGGAGCCGAGGUAAUACGUAGGUGGCAAGCGUUGUCCGGAAUUACUGGGUGUAAAGGGAGCGUAGGCGGGAAGCCAAGUCCGCUGUGAAAACUACGGGCUUAACCUGUAGACUGCAGUUGAAACUGGCUUUCUUGAGUGCAGUAGAGGUUGGCGGAAUUCGGAGUGUAGCGGUGAAAUGCGUAGAUAUUCGGAGGAACACCGGUGGCGAAGGCGGCCAACUGGGCUUUAACUGACGCUGAGGCUCGAAAGUGUGGGGAGCGAACAGGAUUAGAUACCCUAGUAGUC
rnacentral:rRNA from 1 species